rnacentral:rRNA from 1 species
CCUACGGGAGGCAGCAGUGGGGAAUCUUGCGCAAUGGGCGAAAGCCUGACGCAGCAACGCCGCGUGCGGGAAGAAGGCUUUCGGGCUGUAAACCGCUUUCAGCAGGAACGAAAAUGACGGUACCUGCAGAAGAAGGAGCGGCCAACUAUGUGCCAGCAGCCGCGGUGAUACAUAGGCUUCAAGCGUUGUCCGGAUUUAUUGGGCGUAAAGAGUUCGUAGGCGGUCGAGUAAGUCGGGUGUGAAAAUUCUGGGCUCAACCCAGAGACGCCACCCGAUACUGCUUGACUUGAGUUCGAUAGGGGAGUGGGGAAUUCCUAGUGUAGCGGUGAAAUGCGCAGAUAUUAGGAGGAACACCGGUGGCGAAGGCGCCACCCUGGAUCGAUACUGACGCUGAGGAACGAAAGCAUGGGUAGCAAACAGGAUUAGAUACCCUGGUAGUCCAUGCCGUAAACGGUGGGCACUAGGUGUGGGUUUCUAUUAACGAAAUCCGCGCCGUCGCUAACGCAUUAAGUGCCCCGCCUGGGGAGUACGGUCGCAAGCUAAAACUCAAAUGAAUUGACGGCUGAGAGNGCGAGCGACGACGAGGAGAG